GUUCAAACCCUUCCCCUACUA
rnacentral:tRNA from 1 species